UUUGACUAUACGAAGGUAUUGAAAUAAGAUUUUAAAUGAGUGCUAAGAGAAUGAUUAAACAAUUAAAAGCUUUCUUUAAUUGAAUAAUUGAAUUUAAUUUUUUAGUGCAAAAGCAAAAAUAAAAAUUAGGGACAAGAAGACCCUAUGAAUUUUUUAUUAAAUUUUAUAAAAAGUUUUAUAAAAUUUAAUUUAAUUGGGGUGAUGGAAAAAGAAUAAAUAUCUUUUUUUAAAGAAAAUUGGUUCCGUUUUUAGCGAUUAAAUGAAAAAAAUACUCUAGGGAUAACAGCGUAAUAAUUUUGGAUAGUUCAUAUAGAUAAAAUAGUUUGCGACCUCGAUGUUGGAUUAGGAU
rnacentral:rRNA from 1 species